AGAAAGGUAAGCUAAAUUCAAGCUCAUAGGUUCAUACCCUAUUUAUGGUAACUCCUCUUUCUG
rnacentral:tRNA from 1 species